UACUAGUAAUCUCACAAACCUCAAGGACAGAGAAAUGAGAAAUACUUUCCCUCCAAGAGAUCAUGGGAGCAGGGGAACCCAAGCACUGAACUGGACUCAACUACUUCCACACUCAGGAAAGGAAUGGAAGAGCCCGCCGCUCACUGACUUGCUGAAUAGCCAAUCGCCCUGCCUCUGAGAGUUCUAUAUAUACUGUGGACGUCCUGAUUACUUCUUUUCCUGGCUUGGCUCUUGCGUCGUCCCUCGCUGACUCAAUCCUAGAUGACUCGAUCCUUGCUGACUUCCAGCUUGCCUGCCCUGAUGUAUUAUUGCUACCUCCUCAGGCCAUUCAUUGGAGUAAGGUGGUCAUUUGAUGGCACUGAAGACCGGCAAGGACAGUCAUCUCCCUUCUGU